GAUGAACGCUGGCGGCGUGCCUAAUACAUGCAAGUCGAGCGAAUGGAUUAAGAGCUUGCUCUUAUGAAGUUAGCGGCGGACGGGUGAGUAACACGUGGGUAACCUGCCCAUAAGACUGGGAUAACUCCGGGAAACCGGGGCUAAUACCGGAUAAUAUUUUGAACUGCAUGGUUCAAAAUUGAAAGGCGGCUUCGGCUGUCACUUAUGGAUGGACCCGCGUCGCAUUAGCUAGUUGGUGAGGUAACGGCUCACCAAGGCAACGAUGCGUAGCCGACCUGAGAGGGUGAUCGGCCACACUGGGACUGAGACACGGCCCAGACUCCUACGGGAGGUAGCAGUAGGGAAUCUUCCGCAAUGGACGAAAGUCUGACGGAGCAACGCCGCGUAAGUGAUGAAGGCUUUCGGGUCGUAAAACUCUGUUGUUAGGGAAGAACAAGUGCUAGUUGAAUAAGCUGGCACCUUGACGGUACCUAACCAGAAAGCCACGGCUAACUACGUGCCAGCAGCCGCGGUAA
rnacentral:rRNA from 1 species